GCCAGGCUUCGCCCAUCGACCGCCACAGCCUAUUUUUAGUCAUCGACCGGUCUAUACCUACGUGAAAAUUUCAGGGCGCGCCCAUUGGCUGAGGGAAAAUGACGUCACACUUCCCGACCGACCAAUGGCAGCGCCGCGUUUUGCGCAUGGCCCGAAAGCCUUUUCUGUUCACUGCCGAGAUCCGGCAGUCCGGGCGAGGUGUUCCCAGGUGUGCAAGUACCCGCCAACACAAACAAAGGGCACACGCUGGCGCACCAUGGUGAACGAGCCCACAACCAAUACAUAUCAAAUAAACGCACUGACCUACACCUAGAUAUACACUAAGUUAUCGCGAUAUUCAAACUAAAGCAAUCUCAUUUUACAAUCAAACUUUUUCGAUAUCGAAUAUUUGAUCUUCAGUAUAAGUAGUGAGGGAUAGUUGCGGGAUAGUCGAAGGAUAUUUGCGAGAUAGUCGAGGAUAGUCGAGGGAUAGUUAUUCUGUGGAGGGGAUAGUAAGUGUCGACCGUGGAGGCGGAGACGGGCGCGCUGCUGACGCGGCUGGGGGGCGCGCUGCGGGGGGGCGCCGCCGCCGCGUCGCCCGCGAGGGUCGCCAGCUCCAUCCGGGGCUACCUCACGCACAAGGUCGGCUCCUUGCAGCUGCGCGAUACAGGUUCCGAACUCCCAAUCGAGGGUCACGCUGAGGGACGACGCGUUAAUGUGUAAGCGACGCGCGCACACUUUGAAGAUGAACACAGGAUCUCAUAAAUAGAUUACGUUACCGAGACUCUA